AGGCAGAGGCAAUGGUGGACUUGUGAACCGUGUCAGAUCCGGAAGGAAGCAGCACUAAGCUAGCUUCGCCAUGUGCCUUUUAUAAAA
rnacentral:SRP_RNA from 1 species